rnacentral:rRNA from 1 species
UACGUAGGGACCAAGCGUUGUUCGGAUUUACUGGGCGUAAAGGGCGCGUAGGCGGCAAUUCAAGUCAUCUGUGAAAUCUCCGGGCUUAACCCGGAACGGUCAGAUGAUACUGCUUUGCUAGAGUGCAGAAGGGGCAAUCGGAAUUCUUGGUGUAGCGGUGAAAUGCGUAGAUAUCAAGAGGAACACCUGAGGUGAAGACGGGUUGCUGGGCUGACACUGACGCUGAGGCGCGAAAGCCAGGGGAGCGAACGGG